rnacentral:lncRNA from 1 species
GAAUGUUGAGAUAAUUUUCUUGUAAAACAUAGAUCUUUUGCUAUUCUUACAGACAGUUGAGCUAAAUACUUACGGUUGAGUCCAUUAUAUCUAGUUUCUGUUUCUUUAUCAAUGGAACAGUUUUCUUGCCUCUUAUCAAUUGAUUCCAACCAAUGCGUUCUUUUUUUUUUUUGGUAAUAAAAUAGUUUUUUGCCUCUUCUAAUUAAUUUCAACUGUUUUCUGCUUGCAGUCAUGUGCUCCAUUGCAAAUUGUAUUCCCUCGUUCAUAGAAAACCUACCAUGAUUUGGGAGCACUACUUUUGCAUGUGUUUCCAACGU